rnacentral:rRNA from 1 species
GGGGUGCAACACGAGGACUUCCCAGGAGGUCACCCAUCCUAGUACUACUCUCGCCCAAGCACGCUUAACUGCGGAGUUCUGAUGGGGAUCC